rnacentral:rRNA from 1 species
UACAGAGGGGGCUAGCGUUGUUCGGAAUUACUGGGCGUAAAGCGCGCGUAGGCGGAUCACUAAGUCAGGGGUGAAAUCCCGAGGCUUAACCUCGGAACUGCCUUUGAUACUGGAGAUCUGGAGAUCGGGAGAGGUUGGUGGAAUUCCGAGUGUAGAGGUGAAAUUCGUAGAUAUUCGGAGGAACACCAGAAGCGAAGGCGGCCAACUGGCCCGAUACUGACGCUGAGGCGCGAAAGCGUGGGGAGCAAACAGG